rnacentral:tRNA from 1 species
GCUGGCCUAGCUCAGUUGGUAGAGCAUCGGUUUUGUAAACCGACGGUCGUAGGUUCAAAUCCUAUGGCCAGCUCCA